rnacentral:rRNA from 1 species
UACGUAGGUGGCUAGCGUUGUCCGGAUUUACUGGGCGUAAAGCGCGCGUAGGCGGCUUUGCAAGCCGGAUGUGAAAUCCCCGGGCUUAACCUGGGAACUGCAUUCGGGACUGCAUGGCUAGAGUAUGGGAGAGGGAAGUGGAAUUUCAGGUGUAGCGGUGAAAUGCGUAGAUAUCUGGAGGAACACCGGUGGCGAAGGCGACAUCCUGGACCGGUAUUGACGCUGAGGCGCGAAAGCCAGGGGAGCAAACGGG